UGGAGCCAUCAUCGUCUGAAGAGAUUCCACU
rnacentral:piRNA from 1 species